rnacentral:pre_miRNA from 1 species
UUUGUACUCCCUCUGUCCAGAAAUAUUAGUCAAAAAAAUUGAUGUAUCUAAACGUAUUUUAGUUUUAAAUACAUUCAUAUUUAAUCAUUUUCGCGACAAGUAUUUUCUCAUGGAGGGAGUAUUCA